rnacentral:rRNA from 1 species
AUGUCCUACGGGGGGCAGCAGUGGGGGAUAUUGCACAAUGGGGGAAACCCUGAUGCAGCGACGCCGCGUGUGGGAAGACGGUCCUCUGGAUUGUAAACCACUGUCCCCAGGGACGAAGAUGACGGUACCUGGGGAGGAAGCUCCAGCUAACUACGUGCCAGCAGCCGCGGUAAUACGUAGGGGGCAAGCGUUAUCCGGAUUCACUGGGUGUAAAGGGAGCGUAGACGGCGACGCAAGUCUGGAGUGAAAGCCCGGGGCCCAACCCCGGGACUGCUCUGGAAACUGCGUCGCUGGAGUACGGGAGG